CGGAACGAAAACAACAACACCUAAAAUGUGGAAUAUAGCAUAUAGUCGACAAGAGAAAUCUACGAAAAACAAACAAAACUUUCAACAACGGAUCUCUUGGUUCUCGCAUCGAUGAAGAGCGCAGCGAAAUGCGAUACCUAGUGUGAAUUGCAGCCAUCGUGAAUCAUCGAGUUCUUGAACGCACAUUGCGCCCCUCGGCAUUCCGGGGGGCAUGCCUGUUUGAGCGUCGUUUCCAUCUUGCGCGUGCGCAGAGUUGGGGGAGCGGAGCGGACGACGUGUAAAGAGCGUCGGAGCUGCGACUCGCCUGAAAGGGAGCGAAGCUGGCCGAGCGAACUAGACUUUUUUUCAGGGACGCUUGGCGGCCGAGAGCGAGUGUUGCGAGACAACAAAAAGCUCGACCUCAAAUCAGGUAGGAAUACCCGCUGAACUUAAGCAUAUCAAUA
rnacentral:rRNA from 1 species